rnacentral:rRNA from 1 species
UACGUAGGGGCCGAGCGUUGUCCGGAUUCAUUGGGCGUAAAGAGCGUGUAGGCGGCCGCUUAAGUCCUGUGUGAAAUCCCCCGGCUCAACUGGGGAACUGCACAGGAAACUAGCGGGCUUGAGUUCGGGAGAGGGAAGCGGAAUUCCGGGUGUAGCGGUGAAAUGCGUAGAUAUCCGGAGGAACACCGGUGGCGAAGGCGGCUUCCUGGACCGACACUGACGCUGAGGCGCGAAAGCUAGGGGAGCAAACGGG